UUUGUCCUUGUACAAGUGUGA
rnacentral:piRNA from 1 species